GAUGAAGAACGUAGCGAAAUGCGAUAAGUAAUGUGAAUUGCAGAAUUCAGUGAAUCAUCGAAUCUUUGAACGCACAUUGCGCCCGCCAGUAUUCUGGCGGGCAUGCCUGUUCGAGCGUCAUUUCAACCAUCAAGCCCCCGGCUUGUGUUGGGGACCUGCGGCUGCCGCAGGCCCUGAAAACCAGUGGCGGGCUCGCUGUCACACCGAGCGUAGUAGAUUUUCAUCUCGCUCAGGGCGUGCUGCGGGUUCCGGCCGUAAAACGCCUUAUUUACCCAAGGUUGACCUCGGAUCAGGUAGGAAGACCCGCUGAACUUAAGCAUAUCAAUAAGCGGAGGA
rnacentral:misc_RNA from 1 species